CCUGACAGUGAGUCGGUAUUUCGAGCUCGACCGCUUGGCCUGCCGGGAACAGUAUAGGUCUGUUCGGCCGACAUACCUCUGACCGAAUAUAGUCGGUAGCCAUUGUCGGCAGUCGUCGAUCGGUAGAGUCGGCAUCGGUCGGACAGGUUCGAUGGUAAGUCGGUGUGCAGGGAUCGAUCAGUAUAUCCCAACAAUUUCCAUAUCAAGGCCUAGGUUUUGAUCAAAGUAC
rnacentral:lncRNA from 1 species